CUGAACACUGCCUCUGUUUUAUGUUUAGUUUCGACUCGGGGGACUGAAUGUAAACCUGUCCGACAAAACACGAGGGAUCUAGAUGUUUCAUGAGUGCAGGAGCGUCUCCUAUAAACCCUGACACUGAGGUGAUAAUUCUGGCUUUUCUUACUUAAAGGAACAGCUGACAUCCAGACUGAAGGAGGCGGGAACUGAACCACCUCUACCUCCUCAUCCACAGUCACCUGAAACAGAGCUGGAGCUUUAAAUACCGGGCUUUGCGUGACCGACCACCUCACCUGGACACGGCAGCAGCAGCAGCAGCCUCUCAGAGCAUGACGCCUCACACAUGCUUAUUCAUCCUUUCACUCUUUCACGACCCCGGAAUGACCUAUGCCUGCAAAUCCCAAUUUACAGAGCACAACCAUACAUGAGUCUACCUCAUAUAGUCCUGUGCACAGCUGACCCCUGGUGGCAACAAGAGGCAGUACAGGACUGAGACACAAGGGUCCACCCAAGAGGAGACACAACCUGCAGAGGGAGGAACACACCGUCAACUUUUGGGGAACUGGAAGUGGACUGUUUGCUGUUUCAUUGGAAAUGUUUUUGAUAUUUGUUUGAAGUUCAGUUUGUGAAAACAUGAACACAAAUACUCUUCCUGUGUGAGAGACGGUUCUCAGACUGACUGUGGUGUUAAAAAAGAAAAAUACCAAACAGUGUCUAGACACUGUACUGACCUGAUUUCCCUAAAAACAUGAGACUGGACAUUAUUAUUAUUAUUAUUUUUUGUUAUUAUUAUUAUUAUU